rnacentral:rRNA from 1 species
CCUACGGGAGGCAGCAGUGGGGGAUAUUGCACAAUGGGGGGAACCCUGAUGCAGCGACGCCGCGUGGGUGAAGGAGCGUUUCGGCGCGUAAAGCCCUAUCGGCAGGGAAGAAGAUGACGGUACCUGACCACGAAGCCCCGGCUAAAUCCGUGCCAGCAGUCGCGGGAAUACGUAGGGGGCAAGCGUUAUCCGGAUUUACUGGGUGUAAAGGGGGUGCAGACGGCUACGCAAGCCAGGAGGGAAAGGCCUGGGCUCAACCCCGGAACUGCUCUUGAGACUGCAUGGCUGGAUUGCAGGAGGGGCAGGCGGAAUUCCUGGUGUAGCGGUGAAAUGCGUAGAUAUUAGGAGGAACACCGAUGGCGAAGGCGGCCUGC